rnacentral:lncRNA from 1 species
GGCAUUCCUGUGUAAGGAGCUCUGUGGAUGCUUGACUCCUUCAUAUACAAUGGCCUAGUGCUUGCUGAGAUUCCUUACAGGAACAGGCUCACAUAAUCAUGGAGCCACAAGCCCCCCAAUCUGCUGUAAGACCAGGAAGUCCAGUGGUAUAAGGCCCAAUGGGAGGGGGAACCUGGAGGGGAGACAGUGAAAUUCCUUCCUCCUCAUCCCAGUCCCAAGGCCCAGAACCAGCAGUACCGGGUCCAAAGGCAGGCCGUGACGGACACCUCAGCUCACACAGAAGAAGCCCUCACCUGCCCUGUUUUCUAGCCAUGCUCUCAAAGGUCCAGAUGAUGCCCACCCACUCCGCACAUGGACCUGGGCAUUUCCUUACUGGAUUACGCCGAACAGCUCAAAUGCUAAUCAGUCCCGAAAACAUCCCACAAUUACAGCAGAUUAAAAUUCAAACACACAAGUUUUCCAAGGAUUUGUCUGCCCAUGAAACAG